rnacentral:rRNA from 1 species
GUCCACGCCGUAAACGAUGGAUACUAGCUGUUGGAAGCAAUUUCAGUGGCUAAGCGAAAGUGAUAAGUAUCCUACCUGGGGAGUACGUUCGCAAGAAUGAAACUCAAAGGAAUUGACGGGGCCCGCACAAGCGGUGGAGCAUGUGGUUUAAUUCGAUGAUACGCGAGGAACCUUACCAAGGCUUAAAUGUAGAUUGACCGGUUUGGAAACAGACUUUUAGCAAGACAAUUUACAAGGUGCUGCAUGGUUGUCGU